rnacentral:rRNA from 1 species
AGUGAACGCUGGCGGCAGGCCUAACACAUGCAAGUCGAGCGGCAGCGCGGGGGCAACCCUGGCGGCGAGCGGCGGACGGGUGAGGAAUUCGUCGGAAUCUGCCUUUUUGUGGGGGAUAACGUAGGGAAACUUACGCUAAUACCGCAUACGUCCUACGGGAGAAAGUGGGGGACCGCAAGGCCUCACGCAGAAAGAUGAGCCGACGACCGAUUAGCUAGUUGGUGGGGUAAAGGCCCACCAAGGCGACGAUCGGUAGCUGGUCUGAGAGGAUGAUCAGCCACACUGGGACUGAGACACGGCCCAGACUCCUACGGGAGGCAGCAGUGGAGAAUAUUGGACAAGGGGCGAAAGCCUGAUCGAGCCAUACCGCGUGUGGGAAGAAGGCCUUCGGGUUGUAAAGCACUUUUGUCCGGAAAGAAAUCCCUGGAGCUAAUACCGUCGGGGGAUGACGGUACCGGAAGAAUAAGCACCGGCUAACUUCG